UUCAGAGGAACCUGCCCUAUAAUUGAUGACCCACGAUUUUAUAAACUUAUUUUAUUAAUUUACAUAUCGCCGUAGAUUGAAUAUUUUAAAAGAAUAAUCAUAUUCAAGAUUUUUUAUAAAAAAAUAAAUCAGGUCAAGGUGUAGUUUAUAAAUAAGAAGAGGUGGGUUACAAUAAAAUUAUUUAAAUGGACAAUUAUUUGAAAAAUUAAUUUAAAAGUGGAUUUGACAGUAAUUUUAAUUAAAUUAUUAUUAUGAUUUUAGCUCUAAAAUAUGUACAUAUCGCCCGUCAUUUUCAUUAUAAAAUGAAACAAGUCGUAACAUAGUAGGCGUACUGGAAAGUGUGCCUAGAACGUCAAAUUAGAGCUUGUUAAAAGCAUUUUAGUUACAUUAAAAAGUUUAUUGUGAAAUUCAAUAUAAUUUGAAUUUUUAUAAUUAUUUAAAUUAUAAUUUUUAUUUAAUUUUAAUAAAAUAAUUUGUAUUUUUAUUAUUAUAUAGAAAAAAUUUUUUUAAUAAUAGUAAAUUAGUAUUGUGAAAGAAAUUAUUUAAAUUUUAAAAAGAAUAAUUAAUUUUUAGUACCUUGUGUAUCAGGGUUUAUUAAAUAAUAAUUAAAUAUUUUAAUUUUCUCGAAUUUAAAAGAGCUAUAAAAUUAUAUUUUUUAUUGUAUUAUAAAUAUUAUUAAUAUUUUUAUAGAAAUGAAAUGUUAUUCGUUUUUGAAUAUAUCUAGUUUUUUAAGAAAUAAAUUAAAUUUAUUUAAUAUAAAUAUUAAUUUAAAUAUUUAAAUUAGUAUUAAUAUUAGUAAAUAUUUUAAGGGAUGAGCUUUAAAAUAUAAUUUUAUAAAUAAAUAUAUUAUUUGAUUAAAUAGGAUUAUAAAUUUUCAAUUUUAAUAGUAUGUUAUAAUUAUUUCAAAUUUUUUAUAAUUUAUAUUUAUUUUAAUUUUUUUAUUAAAAUAUUAAUUUUAAUUUUUUAUAUUAAGAAAUAAUGAUAAAAUUAGUAUAAUAUUUUGUAUAAUAAUUAUAUUAUUAGGUUAAAUAAAGGAAUUCGGCAAAUUAUUUUUCACCUGUUUAAUAAAAACAUGGCCUUUCGAUUAUAAUUUAAGGUUUAACCUGCCCAAUGAAAAUUUAAAUGGCCGCGGUAUUUUGACCGUGCAAAGGUAGCAUAAUCAUUUGUUUUUUAAUUGAAAGCUGGAAUGAAAGGUUGGAUGAGAAAAUAACUGUCUCUAUUUAAUUUUUUUAGAAUUUUAUUUUUAAGUUAAAAAGCUUAAAUAAAUUUUGAAGACGAGAAGACCCUAUAGAGUUUAAUAUAUUUAGUAUUUAAAUAAUUUAGUAAUAAUUUUUUUAAAUUAAAAAUUUAUUUGAUUGGGGUGAUUAAAAAAUUAAAUUAACUUUUUUUGUAUUUUAUCAUUGAUUUAUGAAUAAUUGAUCCUUUAAAAGAUUAAAAGAUAAAAUUACCUUAGGGAUAACAGCGUAAUUUUUUUUUAGAGUUCAAAUCGAAAGAAAAGAUUGCGACCUCGAUGUUGGAUUAAAAUUAAUUUUUGGUGUAGAGGCUAAAUAAAUUGGGUCUGUUCGACCUUUAAAAUUUUACUUGAUCUGAGUUCAAACCGGUGUGAGCCAGGUUGGUUUCUAUCUCGAAAUAGAUAAAAUAUUUUAGUACGAAAGGAUCAAAUAUUUAAUUUAAAAUUUUUAUUAUUGAAUAUUAAUAAAUUGUUAUUUUGGCAGAUUAGUGCUAUAGAAUUAGAAUCUUUAUAUGUAAAAUUUUUACAAAUAAUACUUGAAAUUAUAUGAUUUAUUUUUAAUAUUAAUUUCUAGAUUAAUUUUAUCUAUUUGUGUGAUAAUUAGAGUAGCUUUUUUGACUUUAUUAGAGCGUAAAUUAUUAGGAUAUAUUCAAAUUC
rnacentral:rRNA from 1 species